GGAAAAAACACAUCUGGCGACAAUUGUCGACAAUAGAAUUCAUUGUCGACUUUUUUCAUUCUCGAUUUUUGACGACAAUGUGGACUAAUCAUUGCAGCCCUCGUAGAUUUGUCACUAGUUUAACUAUUGAGGAGCAGUCAUGUCAUCCAUUUUUAAGAAUAUGGAUGAGCGUUAUCCUUGAGUGACUCCAGGUUCAAUUUAGUUUGAGAAAAACAAAAGUGGUGUUGAUAAGAAAUCUGGAGUGCUGCCUGCUAAUGUUCCACUGAAGUUAAACAGCCUUAGUGUAUGACUCUUAAAUUUAUAUUCAGUGUACUUAACAUCAAGUCAACAAGUAAAGUUUGAUAAAUGAAGAAAAUUAAUGAUGCAUUGUUCCUUCAACAACAAAUAAGCUUUAUAAAUAACAGAAUACACAUACUUCUACUCACCGUAUACGUGCUGAUUGGUGUGUAUGUGGAGUCCUUGCAGGUGGGCGGGGCGUGAGCACUGUGUACCUGUCACCUUAUGUAAAUGUGACUCUUUAUUAAUAGCAGGGCAGCGGCUGUGCACCAAUGAAUGUCGAUGUGUCGAUGGGGGCCGGACCUCCCCUGUGACAGCGCUGAUUAGUGGUUGUGCGCGAGGGUCACUUCAGCGACUCCGCUUCUACAGGAGGGCGCGUGGCAUUCACUGACAACACCGGUCACCUUUUCUCACUCGACCUUACCGAGCGAAGAGAAGAAAGGAACAAGGAGGAGAGUCGGGACAUUUACAUAAAAGAGGAAAUGAAGAUGGAAAUUCUCUCGGCGGAGGCAUUAAUCCUAAACGGGAGAGACGUUGUGUAAAAUGUUGAUCAAAAAAUGAGCUUGAAAUGGAUGCAGUGACUAAAUGUGUUUACGGAUAGUUUUAGGAAGUGAUUCUGAGCCCAUGCAGAGAUUUCCACUACAGAGCCAUGCCUUUUUAAUGCAGUUCAACAGCCUAAAUCUCUGAUCUCCUCAUGAUAUAAUGCGCUGUAAGUGAUAAAAUCCUUCAAUCCUUUCCAAUUUUACGCUGAGAAACAUCAAUCUGAAACUGCUGAACUGCUUCCUCGAGGAGAUUUUAAACCUCUGCUUGUCUUCUCUCAACUAUAUAAAAGGUAUCACUGCUCCACCAGACUCAUGUGUACCAAGUUUGACGACUCUACUGUAUUUUGAGCCCUUGAAAAUACUACUUCCUGUUUGAAGGGGGAAUACAGCACCAGCAUAGCAACAGUCAUUGACUUAGCUUUUGGAGUGUGAGGGGUUGGAUUGUUUAGGAGACCUUAGCUAACCAGAUAGGAUCCGACAGUGGUUAUGUGAGGGCAGAAACUACUUGUUAAAAUUUGGUUCUUAAACUUUGAUGCUUGUGUUGACCACGCCCUUUGAUAAAAACUCUCAGUUUUCGGCACACAUCAAGAUCAACAGCUUAAGGAUAUCCUUGGCAGGUUUUGUGCAGGUAUGUUUAAUAGUCUCAGAGAUUCAGCUCAUAAACCGAUAGCAUGGAGCUCCCUAUUGCCACCAGAGGGUGCUAUGAUCAGGAUGUAAUAUUACCAAAUUAAUAUCUUGAGAAAAUGACCCCCAUUAUGCAUGGUGAGUUCAGGUGAGAUUGGAAAAAAAAAGACUUCCUGUGCAAAAGCAAAACAGUGAACUUUGAGGGCUCACCUUGGCAAAACCCUUUGAUAUUCAUCUGAUCAUUCGGGUCUUUUCUACCUUGAAAGUAAGAAUCAAGUGGAUUGGACAUACACUUUUGGAGACUAAACCUUCCAAAGGACCCAACCGUGUUAGCCAACUUUUCAUAAUUUGUCCAAAAUCAUUAAAAAAUAUCUUUUUUUACCAGUGCUGGCGAAGUUUCAUACAUUUUUGAGCAUGUUUAGACCAUACCUCCCAACACUCCUGUUUUUCCCAGGACUCUCCCAUAUUUCAAACCUAUCCCCCGCCCACCUCCUGUAUUGUCAUUACUCUCUAGAAUCUCCCGUAGUUUGAUGGUCCAUGGUCACUCAUGAAUCGGAUCACUAUAUUUCUCCAAAGUUGCCAGACAACUGAAGAUAGUCCUGUGUUUCUCCUGAGCCUCACAGACACUGGAUUGAUACUUUGACUUUACAGUUUGGGAUGAUUCAGGCCGUUUUAAUCUGUAAACUAUAUUUAAGCAGUGUUUGUUGCAAAAUGAACACUUCAGUAAGAGGGAAACAAACGCAAGAUAGAAUACUUGUGUUGAUAGUCUUGUACCGUCUCAGAGUGAUGCGUUCAGGGCAGCCUCAGACAAAAGAGUGCUGUAUUGCACAGAGAGCCUCAUACGAGAAAGCAUGUAAAACAGUAAUAUUAGUGGACUAAAUAAGUUCAAGGCAUAUCGUAGCCAUUAUUUUUCUUUUAUUACCAUCUGUUAUGUUUAAAACAGAACAAAAAAGUGUGCAGCUUCACUUCUACUUAUUUGGAUGAGCGAUUUAAUUACAAAUACUUUCAUAAUUAGCUCAUAUCCACCAUACAAGGUAACCCCAGAACUGCCCGGUCAUAAAAUACCCCAGACUUUGAGACCCCAGACCCUCAAAAGUGAAGGUAAAACAAUCAAGAAAUCCUGAAAUUGCAUUUUAAAUCAAAUGCAAAGUCCAUAAAACUUGUAACCAGUGAAUUCUGUCUUGAUGGCUAAUAUCUUGUCAUUGUUAGAGCCUGCGUCCAACGUCCUCCAUCUUGGCUCGUGAAGGACUUGAGAAGUUUCGAAUUUGAUUAAUAAAUACGGCGCCGCCUCGUCUGCAUCCAUAGAAACAGAAAUCCUGAUUGCCUGCUAGUUAUGAUAUCAUUGGGCAGGCGAGGAGAAGGGACAUUGGCAGUGUGACAUUGUCAUUUUCAAGUCUCAACUGACACCUGGGGCCACCCAAUGUCCCUCCAAAUUCUCCGACAGCAAGACAAUGGACGACAGCUUGGAGGACGAGUGCAACCAUACACAGCUUUGAUUGGUCUGCCAAUGGAAUAAUCAAGUGUUUCAAAUCUGAUUCCAGGGACAUUAUUUUGUAAUUCCAACUUUAAUUUGACUCCACAAAUGGAGCGUUGAGGCGGGAGGAUGAAUAUUGGGGAGAUUUCCUUCGGCUUGUUACGGGUUUGGUUUCACUUUCGAAGCUGACCUAAGAAAGGGGAAAAAAAAUCAGAAGAUCUUUUAACUGUGGACGUUUAAGAAGUUAAGCAUAAGCCAAAUCCAAAGCGCUCAGCGACAGUGAAGGAAAAAAAAAAAGUGUGAAAUUAUAGGAAGUUGGAGUGCUUUGUUUGUUUCAAAGCUUUCUACUCUCUCUCUCUCUGGUAGGGAUUUCCGAGUGCGAUCUUAAUCUCUUUAUUAUCUUUGAAGGCAUUUCACCUAUAGGACCUUGUGAAUAAGCCUAAUCUGAGGAAAAUAGCAAAAUAUUGAGCUCUGGCUGUGACUGAUAAAACAAGCUUUCUUUUUCCCGUCACGCUGUGUUCCUUCUUUUCCUUUUUUUGUGGCUCCUUUUAAGCAGCUAAAGAGCGCAAACCUUUAAUCAUGAGGCAAGGUGACCGCACACUCCGGUUAUCGGGCUCGCACAAACACACACUUGUAUUCACAAGCAGGGAAUGUCCUGUUUGCACUCAGAUAUGAACAAAGGUGUGAGUCAAACCAGAACAUCUACAUAUAGAGUGCGGAUAUACAACUUUUGCAUUGUUUUUUGGAGGAAAGUUUGAGUCCCGUCUCUUAUAUAAUACUCCUUCUCCCUCCACCUCCUUUCCCUCUAUCUUAUACACACUGGGAAACAUGCAGGCACCAACUGUAUUAUAAUAUAUUUCUUCUACUUUCCACAUUGAAAUUCAGCAGAUGUCAGUUCAGUAUUUCUUUUGCUGUGUAUUCGCAGGAUUUUAAAAGAUUGUCCCCAACUUUGGGAAAAGCAGGAAAUUACUUUUAAGGAGAAGGAGCUGAACAUAAACAUGGCGAAGACUCUGAUUUGACACCGUGGUGUAGCCUAUUUCUCGUAAGCCUUUUUAUCUGCAGUGCAUCAAUUUGGAGAGAAGAGGCAAAAAAAAAUAAGCUACUGAAAAGUUUAUUUUUUAACUUUUAUUAAUCAAAACACGCUUGAACUGAGUGGCACAUAUUCCAAAUGUGGUUUUAUUCGUCCCACAGCACAGAGAAGCGGCAGAUCUGAUGGGUCAAAGGAACGAAAAACAGUCACAGAACUCUUCAUAACCACUUCGCCCGGAGCGCGAGGCUCUAACAAGACAGUCAUCAUAAACAUGCCGAACAACCCCGCUGCAUACUGUAAGCAGAAAAAACGUCUCCAUCUGAUGUGACAGCUGAGCUAAGAGUGAGGACGCGCAACCCCCCGCAGCUAAGGGACAUUCAGGUUUUCAUUAGUCAUGCUUUUACCAAACAGCACAAACACCAACUCGCGAAGCUCUGACUCCGUCUGUAGAAAUAUGACAAAGUGAUUUAGACAGCACAGUUGCCGGCACACACACGCAGCAGCGAUGUUUUCCUCAUUACUUCGGAUGUUACCACACCCAGAGUAACCAUCAUUAUUAUCGUCGUGGCCGUAAUUGGAACUGUCAGCCGGCAGAAUAACCAUACAAAGGGAAUCCAUAUUUCAUAUUUUACACAGUCAGAGUCGAAAAUACAACUAAACAAGCAAGUUCUGUGAAAACAAUGGUAAUAAAAAAGUCUGUAAGUAACCAGAGGAAACAAAGUUUAACUUUUGUUUCCAUAAUUUUGAGUCCUUUUUGUGUCUAUAAGCCUUAUUGCUUUGUUUUUCAAGCACUUGUGUAUACGCUGUUAUGCAGAUGAUGCUGUGCUUAUACUCAAACAUUUAAUUAACUCACACUAUGUUGUAAAAAUCAAAGGAAAAACAACUAUGCAUUAGCCUGAGAUACUUCUUAUUAAUUGAUAUUGCAGUAUAGCAGUAAACUCCUGACAUUGGGCCUAUCAUGUCUUUGGGCUGGUCCCCAAAUGCCAAAGAAUCCCAUUAGGUCCCAUGUUUGAAGCCCAUCUUUACAGCAGAAUACAUAAACAGCCUGGUUCAAUAAAACUCUUGGUGUAUGUCACUCAUAUCUUUAACUGUUAAGACUGUACAGGAGUUAAUCUUUGUAAAUACAUCCAAGCAAUUGAAUUUCCCUGAACAUCAUCUGUCUCCAUAUCCUAUUGUUUUUUAAGUGUCAACUAUACAGGGGCAAGAUUUUUUCAGUUAGUUUUGCAUAAGUAAGCACAUCAAAAACAUGGCUAAUUUGGCCUCAACUUCACCUUUUUGCCUGUCUGGAUGAACUCUGAAUUAAAUUGGAGACAGGAUUUCGAAUAAGGCAACCACCGAAAACUAUAGGUGACGCUAUUAAGACUACAUCUAUGCUUUAUAUGGUCCAGGGAUAUUCUGGCGUAAAAUUAAUGUAGGGUCAAACACACCAUAACACCGAGUUAAACACCCCCUUGAGAGAUGAAUGUUGCCAACCGCUCGCUUCUCUAGUUACACCAACUUCAGUAACGACCACACAAUAGCAAUACACAAUCUCAACCAAAACGCCACUCUAUAGCCACAAAUAAUGCUCAGAACAGUUGUGUUAAGUCUCAUUGCUAAAGAGUCCAGUGCCCAGCCUAAAAGUUUUGGUAUCCCUUGCUAACUUUUGCACAAAUCAAAGAAAAGCACUUUCAUUCACUAAUCCAGACAACUCUACGUUUCUGUAUUAAUUGAUUUCAUUGGAAUCUUGUCACAAACUUGGGGAAGCUGUCAUGAUUUUUAAUUUGUUAACCUUUAAGAGUCGGGAAAUGAUGGCGAAAGAUAAAGCAGGUUUUGACGAUUUAAGAAAAUAUGGUUGUUUUAAAGUUUCUUUAAAAUUUGAAGGUUUAAAUCCCUCAAAUUAAAGCUUGUGUAAACCCUCUUAAUUGAUUUGUAGCUUGGUUCUUUGUCCAUAUUUUACUGCCAACAGAUGUUCACACUUUACAUUGGCAGGAAAUCAACAAUUCUCUCGCAUCCCUCUCCGUCUCUUUCCCCCGCCGUCCCCCCCACCUGUCAUGCGGGCCAAGCAGCUAUGACAGCCGUGUGAAUGUAACGCCGGAGUGAGAGCGACUCGAGCUGAAGCCCUCACUUCCACCGUGCCCCUUCCCCGGGGGAGGGUGACGCUUUUGCGGUGAACUCCUCCAUACCUACAUUGUUCCUGUAGCUCCGCCACUCUCUCCCGACAGACAUGCUACACCCACCUCCAUAUGGCGUCUCCGCACAGCGCGCUUCCCCCGGGGAGCCAAAGGGCGCCUCAGUUUGCUAUUUCUAGACAAGCAAAUCAUGUUGGUGUGCAUGUGUGAGGCGAAAGUGCAGACUGAAACUUUCUCACUAAAGGGAAUGUCAGUUUAAAAACAUGAUUUGGCAGCAGACGAGAUAAAUAUGACUUCAGUCUCUGGGCAGCGUAUUUGUUCUCCUUUUGGCUCUCUGAGGAACGAGAAGAUGAGGUAGCAAGAGGGUGUCAGAGGCGGGGUCGAAGGGAUCCUUGGAGUUGGAAUAAAUGUUUACAUGAACUCAAAAUACUUUUAAGAUACUGUUUUUUUUUGGAUUUCAGAACUAGCUGUAUUGAUUUUAGAGCCUCUAUGCGCCUAUGGGAACUCAGACACUGGAUAUCCAAUUCUUCUGAAAGAGUUUACUGCAAGAGAGAUUCCAUUAAAACCUCAAGACAACUUGCAUUGAAAUGGGCAUGAAGGCAGCCAAUUUAUGGGGAAUAUGCACAGUUGAAUGACAAUGCUAGCUUUGAGAAAAGAAAAGUACACAAUAGAGUAUAAUUUGUGUCAUUAUUUCAUGGUGUACACAUGGGAGAAAUGAACAGACCAAACGUGAUCACCUCCAUCAAACGCUCUUCUCCAAGUUUAGACAUCAGUAAUCUGUUAAUCAGGACUAAAUAUGACUUUUUUUUUCCUAAAGUAUGUGUGAUGGUGAGGGUAUGUCUUCUAGGUGUAACUUUCUACAAGUCAAAGACCGUAAAGCUCCUGUGAGGAACUUUCGGUUUGUGUCAAUUUUGGCGCCCCCAUGUGACUUAUCUUGUCACAAACCCAGAAAUAGUAGAACCAGUGCAGUGGUUUCAAUUUUUAUCUUGAGCAUGAGUGUGUUCAGAUCAAUGUCUAAUAUAUACAUAUUUAAAACCCAUACAAUUAUAGUUGAUAACUAAUCAACAUACCCAAAGGUAAGAAACCCCCGAGAAAACAGUCAAAAUUGAGAGAUAGUUAUCUGAUGAGACUAAGCUAACCCCCAAUUUCCACCACAUCCGGAACUGCCUCAAAAAGGCCGUAUCCACCAAUCAUAGCUGAUCGUAAGCAUUCAAGUUAAUGUGUCAAUUUCCACCAGUUUCUAUCUGUUCAGCUGUGGAUCGCCGGACUCCACAACUGAUCGCAAGAGUUCUAUUUUUACCUGACGACAGAGCAUGCCGGAUAAAUUCAGCAUAGAUUAACCUGUGCUGGAAAGGAAGUUGGGCACAGACACACCCGCGUGUUCUUGUGAGUUCUUGCGAUUCCUGAUAUCCCUAAUCUACCAGGAAAUUCGCCUCAUAAACGGAUCUGGUAGGAAUUGGUGGAUGGCGAAAAUCGCUGCCGUUCCGGAUUAAAGCCAUUCCGGAUGUAGUGGAAAUUUGGGGUAAGGAUCACAGAGGAAAUGAAAUAAGGAAAUAAGGAAAUAUCAAAGGUGUUAGUUGAAGUUAUAUGACACUCAAACUAUGGCACUUAAGGCCAACAGUAAUAAAUAUGAAUAAUGUGUUUAAUUGAGUAAUAACGCCAACUAACAAAGUUUACAAUGUGAAGUCACAGAGUUGCUCAAACAUGCACAUGUCGACUGUUUGGUACGUAAAAACACAUCGAGGAGAAAGCAGAGACAACCUUGUGCAAUGGGGACUGAACUCAGACUUGUGUAAAUAUGUUAGCUGGUAUUUUGAUGAUGUUGGUUUUUCUCUGGUUUGGCCUCCUGACUACAAAUAAAUAAGAGUUUCUGGUCUUUGAAAGCUUCUGAGCUUUUAGACUCGAACUAGACUUGAGGUUUGGUGACUACAACGCUUUCCCUGCAGGUUCAUCACAUAAAAUUAGCAUUGUCAAGAACUUCUCAAGCAUGCAUCUCGAGAAUUAUGGCGUGGAUUGUACUGGAUUGGAUUGUCCCAUUGGCUGUUUAUAUAAUACCUGUUUUUUCACUGAUGAAUGGUACUCUACAUUCACAGAGCGGUGCAGUCCUGAUCAAGGCCCAGAUAGUGCGGUAUGGAAAUUCUCUGCAGAGUUUGCACUCUUCGUCAAUGAGAAUAAUCCUCACUGAAUUUUGCAACAAGUCUAAUGUGUAAAAAGAAAUUGGAAAGAAAAGCUGCAGGCUAAAAAUUUCAUCCAACUCUAGUGAAAGGCCCGUGUUUUGACAGUUUGACAGCUUUGUUUCAGUACAUAUGGUUGUCUUCGGCGCUUGUGAACCGACUCGCACGGGGGAGACGAAGACAAAGGAACACAUAUUCUAACAAUUCUAAAAAUGGUUCCUGCUGGUGGCGGCAAGACACGCGGAAAAUAGUGGGAUUUCUACACCUAUAUGUUAUAAACAUAGCUUUGUGGACGUGCCCAGAGCGAAAUAUUGUUCUUGAGGCAAUUGAUUCAUGGAGUGAUCGCACAGGUUUGUAAAAUUCCUGUUUUUUUAAAAAUGACUCACAGAUUUGGCAAACUGUUUUCAUGCUCUCGGCCAAAAACAGGCAGAUUGGGACAUUAUGAAGUCAAAUUCAAACACGGCGGAUACAUUAUCAGAGAUUAAACCUUCAAGUGUUGUAAGGCUAAAUAUACGCUCCCACUAUGAUAACUACAUAUGCUUUUUUAUUAGCGUCUUCAUUGAAAUGGCUUUCUAAUUUGGGGCAUUGGAUUCAGGAGGGGGCAUCGGAGGGUGGCCCAACAGAUUGGUUGAAUUGCUUUUUUUUCCCCCCUUCUUAAAAUGACUCAGGUUUUGGCAAACAGUUUAUCACUCCUGGCCCAAAUACAGGCAGAUUGGGAAAUUAUCAAUUCAAAUUCAACCAGGGUAGGCAGAGAAAGAUACGGAGCAGGUGCCAUGGCACUAACACAACAAGCUGUUAAAAUAAGAGGGUGGAAUGGAGGUCACGCAAUUAGCCUCCAUUUUCCACUUGAAUUCAGGUUGAACUUGAGUACUGUAGCUUCUUUUCCAACAAACACUCCAUGAUUCUGUAAGAUAACACGUGAAAGGAGCAACAAUAGAUUGAAUCAGUCUCCUGCUUUGCGCUGACCUUCACAUCCGUGAUCAUGUGCUGUUCACGCAGCCAAAAUUGGAUUGACUUAAUAAGGUAAAAACGCUGGAGUGUACGGUUAACCGUGCUCUUUAAACGCGCAAGGACGCCGCAGAUUGCCGAUGCUUUUGUGAAGAUCAGUCCAGAGCGCCUGAUCAGGAUUUAAUCCACAGUGUAAUUAUAAAGAAAGGGAAGAGGACUUCUGCUUUGCUGUGUGUUAAUCUCGCUCUGCCGGGUGUUGUUUUUUUUUGUUCCUUGUAAUGAUUCCCAGUCUUUUCGGGGGAAGCCAGAUUCUCACAGCUGCCGGUGUUCCCGUACAGUAUGCCUGUGUGGUUCGAAAGCUUUGGAUUGUUUAUCAAGGGCAUAUGUCGGAGGAAGAAUCCUGUUUAGAUGCUGUUUCAACAGACAUUCUUGUAAAUAAGUUUUCCUUUUAGUUAUAUUCUCCGAGUCUUGUUAGCAUUAGCGCUUAUUUCGAAGCACAGAUUGGUCAGCAUAAACAAUAAAUCAGCUACAUAUGGGCAAACAUUCACAAGAGGAUAAGUCUUUGUACGGCUGUGGUUUUCUUUACUCUCAGACACUCUUAACACACACUCCAGCACACACGUAUUAACACACACUCGCAUUUGCAUUUGAGCUAAUCCCAGAGGUGUAAUCAAUGCGGAAAUACUUGGCAUCAGCACUAUGACAGCAUGCUGCGGCACAGCUAGCAUAGCAAUGAGUAUACAGCAAAUCAAGCCUCAGGAAUGGGAGCCUUAUUAAAUAAAAGCAGGAAGGGUCAAUACGAGCUAUUGACGAGUCCAUGAAGCUUGUACUUCAAAGUGUCCCCCCCCCCCCCCUCUCUUUCUCUCUUUUGCUUUUUACCAGCCCAGCGGGGAGACAAGGCAGCCCAGUCUGUGUCAAAACUGGGAUCCUUGAAUGCUAAUGCGGUGUCCUUGGGAGGUAACUUUGUUGCGCCCCAUGAGGAAAACUUCAAACUCCCAUCACAAAUCAGAGCGCGGAGAGAUCCCAGGGGUAUCGCACCCAGGGCAGUACGGUUAAACAUGUUUCCACUCACAAAUGGACACAAAAGCAAACCUAUAAGUGCACAUACACAAACAACUGCUCAAGUAUGACAGUCUGGGUCAACAUCGAGCCUUGAAAGAUACAUAAAGUGCCAACUGUUUAUAUCUGCUGUAGAAUAAAGGGCCACGAAGAAGGAUGCAGUUCAAUGAUGUACGUCCUUAUGGUCCUCUCUACCUGGCCUCUCUUUGUUUAAUUCACAUUGUCAAUUGUUGAAUGAUAAUGUCCAUGAAAACCCUCUCUCGAUCCCUCCGUUCUCAACAGGUCUGUCUCAAACCUGCCGUUUCUACCCGAGAUUUUAGAAAAAUGGUUCUCCACACAGCUGAUUUUCUUUUCUGAAAGACAGUCUGAAAUUUCAAUCUGGUUUCCACUCCCAACACAGCAAAGAGACAGCUCUGGUCAAGGUCUGUAAUGACUUCUUGCUUGCAGCUGAUUCUGGCUUGCACUCCUGACCUCCGUCCGGCCUUGGAAACAGUCGACCACAAAGUCUAAAUCAGCCAAUGUGGCGCUGGAGUGCUCCAUUUCCUAUCUGUCAACCAGCUUUUUUUUUUUCCUGUAGUGCUUUGAAAUGCCUCCUUCUCUUGCGCUCCUCGUGUGGAUUCCCCCAGGGGUCUAUCCUGGGUCCCCUUAUUUACUAUUCACUGUAUACCUGCUUCCCCAGGGGACAAUCCUAGCCUGGCUGGGCCAUCUGGUUGCGUGAAUCACUUGCCGUUCCUUCCCACAACAGUCUGGACUUCAGCCAAUUGGGAGCGUGUAUUAGAAAUCAGAAAAUAAUCGGGCCAAUCAGUGACUGUGUUUCCACUGUUCCCCAGACAACAGGGAAAGGCAGCCCCUGAUUGGUCAAUGUGUAGAUGGUGACGUCUAAACACAUGCUGCGGGACUUUUCAAAGUGCCGUUAAUUCUUCAGUUGACUUUGCAAAGUCGUCAGAAAUCGUAAAAGACAUUGUUCGCUCGCACAUGUUGAAAUAUUACCAAACCUUUACUUGAUGCUUGAGAGCCCAGCAGGGAACACAGUUGCGCACUGUGAUGACGUCACAUGUUCGGUUACGGUGAUUGGUUACAGUAGUCUGUCUAUCAAGGAAAGUACUCCCGCCCACUUUUAGGGCUCCCAAUCGGCCGAAGUCCAGACUGUUGUGGGAAGGAACGGCAAGUGAUUCACCUAACUGGAUGGCCCAGCCAGGAUAGGAAAAUCCUACAUAGGCACUGCAUAGACCUUCCCUGUUAUGCAGAUGACCCCCAGCUCUAUGGCACCAAAAUUGGAGGUUACCACCAUUACUACCCCAACCCUGAGUUUUAGCCACAUUAAUCUUAUUUAGGUACUAAUUCCAAUCCUUGAGCACUUUGUGGCUUGUUUUUGAAAUGCUGUAUAAAAGAAAUUAGUAUUUGAAAUGUUCUCAUGGACAACAUUCAGUUCAAUAACCAAAAUCCUUUUGCUUUUCUUCAUUUCCACACACUAACAAGCAAGACAGCCCGUGUGACGACAAUGGCUGCCGACUAAAUGGAUUUGUGUUUGACUUUCCCCUUUUGGUCCCGAUAUGACAACUGAAGAAUGGAUAAAUCUAAGGGAAGAGGAUAAGCCAAAGACACUGGCAGUUUAAACCGCUAAAACUUCUUAACAUCAGUGGAGUCAGUAUCAGAGCCGGAGCUGAAUGAACUUCAGCGUGUUCAGAUAAAUUUCGACAAUAAUCCUGGACGAAAAAGUCAGACGUUACGCUGAAAGCUGGAUCAUGCAAAAGGGGAACUUGAAAGAGCAGGAAAUGUUUGUCCUUGUUAAGAUGAAUGUAAAACGUCUCAUUGAGUGCUCUUCAUUUCAUACUAUUCAUACUUACUGUAUAUCUACUAGAAACUGUAGAUGAAUGCGGUGUUGAAUUAUCUCCUGAUGUUCUUUUAGCACUCAGUAAGGAUUAUAUUAUUCGACAAAGACAUAAACUAUGAAUAUCAUUUUCUUAACCUUACUUGUAGAAAUCUAGAAACCAAUUUUCUUUUGGUUUACUUAUUUCAGCGUUAUCCUUAUGAAGAGAAGAAAGAAGGAGGUUAUGUUUUCGGUAGCGUUGGUUUGUUUGUCUGUUUAGCAACUUUACGGAGAAAGUUACAGACGGAUUGACCUGAAAUUUUCCCAUUAAAUUUUGGUGGUGAUCCGGACAAAAUUCUGGAUACUGUGAACCAGAACACACAAAAAUAAGGGUGUUGUUGGAAUUUUCAAUGCUGAAAGAUAACCAAUGGGCGGCACAGUGGUGUAGUGGUUAGCACUGUCGCCUCAAAACCGGAGGGUUCUGGGUUCGAAACCUGGUCAGGGCAUUUCUUGUUUUUAGGAACAUUAUGAACAGUGGACAUACCAGUUUAAACACAAAUAAAAGUUAAUAAAAGACACGUAACAGUAAAAGUUUUGGUGUGAAUCACAGUAUAAGGGGGGACAUGAGCUGCUUGGCAGAGGUCUGCGCUCUCUGAGUGCUUUUCUAGUUUCUGACAUGAUGUUGAGAAAACAUGGACUUGGAUGUUGUAUACAUUUAGGUAUAAGUAUCAUCAAAGGUAUUACAUAGGCUACAGUUCAUACUUUAUAUUAGAUGUGUUGAAUUAAAGUAUUUGUGUUUUGUUUUAGCUAUUUUAAUGUCUUAUUUAGGUUACUUUCAACAGAAAACGUCUGUAAAAGCAGCUUUACCUGUGCUAGCUGCAUCAAAAAGUAGACUGACACGGUUAGCAUUAAGCUAAGUGAACACCAGCUCCAAAAAUUGUAAGUAAUGAAGGACUAAAUGGACUGUUUUCUUACUAUUUUGUCAAAAAAAAUGCUUUCCAUAUCAGCUGACAAGUCUGGGCUUUAACCUAUAUAUAAUAUGAGUAUUAUGAUAUAUGAUAUAAUAUGAGUAUUUAAGAAAAUUAAGUUAUGAUUUAGUAACUCACAUGUGCAGACCAGUCAGAAGCAGAUCUACCCUGCUGGAAUAUCUCUAUUCAGCCGCCUUAUCCUAAUGGAAACUGCUUCUUUUGCUGACAACCGCUCCCUGCGUUUAAUACCAAACACUCACUUCAAAUGGGUUGUAACCUGUGGGGGGAUUGUGCCCCGCUGCUGUCCUCAAACUUUUUCACAUGAAUGCUAUUGACCUGAGUCUUCUUAGGGGGUACAGUAGGCCUCUAAAUCCACGUGCUCCACAAUCUCAGCAGAUUGAUGCGGCUCUGGAGUGAGUAACUCCAUUGAUUUCAUUUCACAGGGCAUUCGAUUCAGUAGAUCAUAGCACCUACAACAAGAUUGGGUUGGCAUGGAUUUUCUCCACCGGGUCAAAGAGGCUUAGACCAUAAUUGUUUUUUAUUACUUUUUGGCUCUAAAAACACACCCAUGUAUCAUAUUUCUGACGACUGCUCGAUACCCAGCACACAUCUCCGUCAUAGGUCACUUCUCCCCGGGCCGUUCUUUCUCUGCUGUCUUUUAUUGAGAAAUUCUAUUUGAUUAGCCGUGAACCUUUAAUGUAUAAAGUGCAACGCAGGUCCCCGCUGACAACUUACUCUCUCUUGGCUUUCUGUGUAGAUCUGGCACACAUGACAUGUGAAGACCUUUUGGCUUCGAGGCGCUUAAAGC
rnacentral:lncRNA from 1 species